CCUGCUUUUGUGGGGUGCUCGAGUGGCGAACGGGUGAGUAACACGUGAGUAACCUGCCCUUGACUUUGGGAUAACUUCAGGAAACUGGGGCUAAUACCGGAUAGGAGCUCCUGCUGCAUGGUGGGGGUUGGAAAGUUUCGGCGGUUGGGGAUGGACUCGCGGCUUAUCAGCUUGUUGGUGGGGUAGUGGCUUACCAAGGCUUUGACGGGUAGCCGGCCUGAGAGGGUGACCGGCCACAUUGGGACUGAGAUACGGCCCAGACUCCUACGGGAGGCAGCAGUGGGGAAUAUUGCACAAUGGGCGGAAGCCUGAUGCAGCAACGCCGCGUGCGGGAUGACGGCCUUCGGGUUGUAAACCGCUUUCGCCUGUGACGAAGCGUGAGUGACGGUAAUGGGUAAAGAAGCACCGGCUAACUACGUGCCAGCAGCCGCGGUGAUACGUAGGGUGCGAGCGUUGUCCGGAUUUAUUGGGCGUAAAGGGCUCGUAGGUGGUUGAUCGCGUCGGAAGUGUAAUCUUGGGGCUUAACCCUGAGCGUGCUUUCGAUACGGGUUGACUUGAGGAAGGUAGGGGAGAAUGGAAUUCCUGGUGGAGCGGUGGAAUGCGCAGAUAUCAGGAGGAACACCAGUGGCGAAGGCGGUUCUCUGGGCCUUUCCUGACGCUGAGGAGCGAAAGCGUGGGGAGCGAACAGGCUUAGAUACCCUGGUAGUCCACGCUGUAAACGG
rnacentral:rRNA from 1 species